GUUGUUUCACACCUAUGAAGCAGCAAAGCACUUGGUCCUCCACUUCAUGCCCCACUGAACUGGUUGUGGUGUUCAAAUCACAUUUCAGGGGAGAUGGAGUGUCCACCACUACCACCAGCAGCUUGGUGAGGACAGAUCUUCUCAGUGUGAUUCAUGGAGUUACUCAGCUUUAAGGACACAGAGCAGAAUCUCAGUAGGCAGCUGCCUGCUGGCUCCAUCCCUUGGCAAGAAGCCUGAGCAGGACAAUGGGGGAAGAGCAGCAGUGAGGUUUUGCUGUCAGGCAGUACCUGGGGCUCUGUAUGGUCCAGAGCAGAAGAAAGCCAGGCUCAACCCCCAGAGAGCACAGGACUGACUUACCUCUGGUCCGAUCUCCAUUCUAUGUUAGAAGAGCUGCUGGUAAGAAAAUUUCCUCGUGGACCUGAAUGCUAUCGCCCCAGGACAGAGACAUCUGUUCCUACAAGCAGAACUGGAGUGACUACAG